rnacentral:tRNA from 1 species
UUCUUCGUGGUGUAGUGGUCAGCACGCUCGACGCGUAACCGAGAGGUCCGUGGUUCGAUUCCCGGUGAAGGUG